rnacentral:rRNA from 1 species
UACGAAGGGUGCAAGCGUUAAUCGGAAUUACUGGGCGUAAAGCGCGCGUAGGUGGUUCGUUAAGUUGGAUGUGAAAGCCCCGGGCUCAACCUGGGAACUGCAUCCAAAACUGGCGAGCUAGAGUAUGGCAGAGGGUGGUGGAAUUUCCUGUGUAGCGGUGAAAUGCGUAGAUAUAGGAAGGAACACCAGUGGCGAAGGCGACCACCUGGGCUAAUACUGACACUGAGGUGCGAAAGCGUGGGGAGGAAACAGG